UACGGGGGGGGCAAGCGUUGUUCGGAAUUACUGGGCGUAAAGGGCUCGUAGGCGGCCAACUAAGUCGGAUGUGAAAUCCCCAGGCUUAACUGGGAGGGUGCGCCGAAAACUGGAAGGCUUGAGUAUGGGAGAGGUAAGCGGAAUUCCUGGUGUAGCGGUGAAAUGCGUAGAUAUCAGGAGGAACACCUGCGGUGUAGACGGCUUACUGGACCAUAACUGACGCUGAGGCACGAAAGCGUGGGUAGCAAACAGG
rnacentral:rRNA from 1 species